UUGAGAAUAAAAAUGCAUAUUGACAGGCUAAACAUUCCCUAUAUUAAGCCCAUGCUUGUGUGCCCAGACCUAGUUCUUUACCUAUGUCUGGUUUUAUAAAUGCUGGUGAUAAAC
rnacentral:snoRNA from 1 species